AUGACCCUCAGGAGUAAGAUCUUGAAUAAGCAACGAAGAAGCAAAAAAACAACAGAGAAGGAAGUGCCAUGUGCAUCAGUCGAACAUAACCCUCACUGCCACAGCGAUCAAGCACUAUGUCGUGGCCUUGAAGAAGCAAGGAAGAAGGACCUGGAUGGGGUAGUGGAGGCGCGAGGCGGCCCACGACGCUGGCUGCGUGUCCACGCGCUCGGACGGAAUCAAGCAGACGGGAGGUGCGGCGGCUUGAUGCGGCAGCGACGGCGUGCGGAUUCCUCGCCGGAGGGGCUCGGGACGGGCGUGGGAAGGCGCCAGGUGAGCGCCAUAGCCGCCGGAGGAGCUCGUCUCCCUGUGUUGCGCACCGGCGGCGCCGCACGCAGAAACAUCGGGAGGAAUUGA
rnacentral:rRNA from 1 species